rnacentral:rRNA from 1 species
GAUGAACGCUGGCGGCGUGCCUAAUACAUGCAAGUCGAGCGAACGGACAAGGCUUGUCCUUCUGUGAUGUUACCGGCGGACGGGUGACUAACACGUGGAUAACCUACCUAUAAGACUGGACUCGCGGCGAGACACCGUAGUUCAUACCGGAUAAUCUUUUGAACGGCAUGGUUCAAAAGUGAAAGACCGUCUUGCUGUCCCGUAUAGACGCGUCCGCGCUGCAUUAGCUAGUUGGUAAGGUAACGGCUUACCAAGGCAACGAUGCAUAGCCGACCUGAGAGGGUGAUCGGCCACACUGGAACUGAGACACGGUCCAGACUCCUACGGGAGGCAGCAGUAGGGAAUCUUCCGCAAUGGGCGAAAGCCUGACGGAGCAACGCCGCGUGAGGGAAGAAGGUCUUCGGAUCGUAAACCUCUGUUAUUAGGGACGAACAUAUGUGUAAGUAAAUGUGCACAUAUUGACGGUACCUAAUCAGAAAGCCACGGCUAACUACGUG